AUGAUCAGCCACACUGGAACUGAGACACGGUCCAGACUCCUACGGGAGGCAGCAGUGGGGAAUAUUGCACAAUGGGCGCAAGCCUGAUGCAGCCAUGCCGCGUGUGUGAAGAAGGCCUUCGGGUUGUAAAGCACUUUCAGUCGUGAGGAAGGUAGUGUAGUUAAUAGCUGCAUUAUUUGACGUUAGCGACAGAAGAAGCACCGGCUAACUCCGUGCCAGCAGCCGCGGUAAUACGGAGGGUGCGAGCGUUAAUCGGAAUUACUGGGCGUAAAGCGCAUGCAGGUGGUUUGUUAAGUCAGAUGUGAAAGCCCGGGGCUCAACCUCGGAAUUGCAUUUGAAACUGGCAGACUAGAGUACUGUAGAGGGGGGUAGAAUUUCAGGUGUAGCGGUGAAAUGCGUAGAGAUCUGAAGGAAUACCGGUGGCGAAGGCGGCCCCCUGGACAGAUACUGACACUCAGAUGCGAAAGCGUGGGGAGCAAACAGGAUUAGAUACCCUGGUAGUCCACGCCGUAAACGAUGUCUACUUGGAGGUUGUGGCCUUGAGCCGUGGCUUUCGGAGCUAACGCGUUAAGUAGACCGCCUGGGGAGUACGGUCGCAAGAUUAAAACUCAAAUGAAUUGACGGGGGCCCGCACAAGCGGUGGAGCAUGUGGUUUAAUUCGAUGCAACGCGAAGAACCUUACCUACUCUUGACAUCCAGAGAACUUUCCAGAGAUGGAUUGGUGCCUUCGGGAACUCUGAGACAGGUGCUGCAUGGCUGUCGUCAGCUCGUGUUGUGAAAUGUUGGGUUAAGUCCCGCAACGAGCGCAACCCUUAUCCUUGUUUGCCAGCGAGUAAUGUCGGGAACUCCAGGGAGACUGCCGGUGAUAAACCGGAGGAAGGUGGGGACGACGUCAAGUCAUCAUGGCCCUUACGAGUAGGGCUACACACGUGCU
rnacentral:rRNA from 1 species